rnacentral:rRNA from 1 species
UACGAAGGGGCUAGCGUUGCUCGGAAUCACUGGGCGUAAAGGGUGCGUAGGCGGGUUUUUAAGUCAGGGGUGAAAUCCUGGAGCUCAACUCCAGAACUGCCUUUGAUACUGAAGAUCUUGAGUCCGGGAGAGGUGAGUGGAACUGCGAGUGUAGAGGUGAAAUUCGUAGAUAUUCGGAAGAACACCAGUGGCGAAGGCGGGUCUCUGGGCCGAUACUGACGCUGAGGAGCGAAAAGCGUGGGGAGCGAACAGG